CUUCCUUUAUAUCAUACAGAUCUUGACACCGGGCUGUGUUGUCACUGUUGGCGGUCGGUAAUACCGGACAAACUGAAGCGCUGGAUUCAAGUGUUUAACCUGGUUGUCUGUGGCUCUGAAUCACUCAGUUCCUGCAGUUUGCAGGGAUGGACCGUAGUCUGGAUGGCUGACAGACAGAGAAGAGUACUGAUCACAUGACACGAUGCUAGCUCAUAACCGAUUCCUCCUCCUGGUGGUGGUGGGUGGGGCUGCGCUGGCUGUCCUCAGCCUGAGCCUCCAGUUCUUGAACCUGAUCCCCACCACACCCAUAUUGGAGGAGCGACCCUUCCAGGCGGCAGGUGGAGGCAUUGGUGUUGCUCUGGUGAAGAGCAGAAAGAGGGUGUUCCCAGUGCCUCACACCGAGGAACCCAGCCUCAUAUCUGAGGCCUACGGCUACUGCAAUACUCCCAACCGCACCGAACAAGCCUGGGAGGGUCACAGCCCUGCUGACUACAAGCUGCUGUCGGUCCAGGUGAUGAUUCGUCAUGGAGACCGCUAUCCACUGUACUCCAUCCCCAAGACCAGACGACCUGCCAUCGACUGCACCCUGUCUAUCAGCAAGAAGCCUUCCCACCCACUGAUGAAGUCCUUCAUCAGUCACAUGGACCAGGGUGGACGUGGCCACUGGGAGUCACCACUGGGCUCUGUUCCCCGUCUGCCCAACCACGGUGUCUGUGAGAUGGGAGAGCUCACACAGACAGGUGUGGUGCAGCACCUACAAAGUGGGCAGCUCCUCCACCAAGCCUACAAGCGUCAUAAUCUUCUGUCCUUUGAUUGGCUGCCACGCCAGGUUUGGGUGGAGACCACAGGUAAGAGCCGGACUCUUCAGAGUGGACUCGCCUUCCUUUACGGCUUCCUCCCAGACUUUGACUGGACGAAGGUGACUGUGCGUCACCAGUGGAGCACAUUAUUUUGUGGCUCAGCCUGUGACUGCCCUGCCAGGAGCAGGUACCUGGAGGAGGAGCAGAGGAGGCAGUACCGGCUCCGAGUGGCUGAUACUGAGCUGGAGAAGGCAUACACUGACAUGGCACGCACUUUGGGUCUGGCCACCCGCCAGCUCAGAGCUGCAAACCCUAUAGACUCCCUGCUGUGCCACCUGUGUCAUGGCCUUUCUUUCCCAUGUGUUCCCACAGAAGAUAGUGGCACCGGUGGAUGUCUGACUAUGGCACAGUUUGCCGUGAUUCGUCGUCAGCAGCUAGAUGAUGAGGUGGAUCGGAGAAGAGUAGGGUUAUAUCAUAAAUAUGCCGUCUUGGCUAUGUACCCCUACCUCAACCGAACUGCCACUAAGAUGGAGCGUGUCGCUAAAGGCAGUGAGGCAGGCAGGCAGCCUCGAGCGGGGGGCGAGGAGGUCUUCACUCUCUCCUCAGCCCACGAUGUUACAAUGGCUCCCCUACUCAGCGCCUUGGGACUGGAGCAAGCCAGGUUCCCACGUUUUGCAGCAAGAGUAGUCUUUGAACUUUGGAAGGGUCCCUCAAUGACGCCAGGGCAACCAAAGAAGAGAGUUGGCAAAGGUGAUAAGUCAAAAGCAAAAGAUGGAGAAUUGUUUAUCAGGGUGCUGUACAACGGUGAAGAUUUGACAUUUUACACCACCUUCUGUCGCUCCCAUGACCGCCACGCCAGCCAGCCCCUCUGCCCUCUGAAGAACUUCCUGUCUUUUGUCAGGAGAGAUAUGUUCAGCAUUUUCAAUACUACUUCCUACCAGGAGGCCUGCUACAGACGCCCUGAUUGACAGGUGGAGAGAAGGGGUCAAUGAGGAAGCACGCACAGUUAGCAGAUGGGUGUAUUUUCCACCUUUCUACUUUAGAAAAUGAUGCACUUUUGUGCUGUUUAUAGCAUCUUAAAUUUUCUCAUAUUUUAACUGUAGUACAAACUGACCGGCAAACACAAAUAUUGUAAUCAAAUCUUGAUCAGAGGGCUUUCUUCAAACAUGUUCAAGUUUCUUUUUUCAAAGUUGUAUAUUUUCUCAAGCAUAUCUGUAAGAGAUAAGUAAUUUCAAAGGAAGUAGUACGGCACUCGGCCACUUUAUUUCUACAUUUCAUAAAACCAUGGAAUUGUAAAAUUCCACUAUUCCCAAAGGUCUGUGAGGGGGGGAAAAAGGGAUUAUCAGGAUUAGCGAUGCUGUACUGGGUUUAUCGUUCUCUGGAAAAUAUUUUGUCUACAAUAAUCUUGUUUUACAAUAAUGGUUAUUUCUUCUUUGACACCUCCAUGUGGAUCUUUUUUAACUUUUCUGUAUUAAACUUGACUGGAGUAUGUUGUCAAGUGAGGCGUUUUUUUUUUUCUUCUUUUAAUUGUUUCACGACAGUGCAUCUGUAUUUAUCAAAUGGAUCUAAAAUCAAACUGAUCACAUUCCACUUUUUGCUUGAAGGAUACUGAAUCUAGUAAAGGUUCAUUCUGAACAGACAGACACACACUAAAGCACAUAUGGAGUAAAAUAAAUACUCAUAUUUUCAUUGCAUAUGGAUUGCUCAUGUUUAUGUGUUUGCUUAUGUGACCUGAAGAAUCCCACCAUACUUGAGCUAAUUUGAACUAUUUUGCAUAAACAAUUUCUUUUAUAAGUUGAUGGAUGUAAAUGCUGUUACAUUGGUCUAGUAUAGAUGUCCAAUUAAGUCACAUUUACCUCAAACCUGCCUUGUUCCUAAGAGUUGGUGAAGGAAACUACUAGUUAAUUGUCAGAGAAGAGCUGUUCUCCUCACAGUACCACUAGAUGGCAUAAUAGCACCACCAGUCACACUAAUCCAUUCUGGCCCAUCUGCUUCUAUCAGUUAUCCACUUUGUCAACAGUGCUGCAGUGGCAGAGCACAAUGUCAAUGCAUCUAUAUAAAUGUAAAAACCCUGAGUGCCUAUUUCCCCCACCACUGGGCAAGUCAUGUGUCAUUAUCAUUAGGAACAUAAUACAACGCUGACAAGAUAUCAAUUGUACAGCUCAUUUUCAAAAGUGCUUCAGUGCACUAUAACUGUUUUUUUUUUUUUCCUCUCAGAAUGCUCAGGAUCAGGAGAGUAUUGACUCGAAAAAUGCCGUAACAAGAUCUGUUCCAGACCUUCUCCUGGGCCAUUUCUCAUGUUAUGCCAUGACGUCAGGGUUGUUAAUGAUAGAAGCUAUCCUUACCCAGCCGGCCUGAUUCCUCUUCGUCUUGUCCUGUCCUCUCCCACCAACGCCUUUCCCCCCAGGCCCUGAAACCUCUCUGCCACCCAUGCCUCUGAUGUCAUCUCGCCAGACCCAGUUGUUGCACACACAGAAUGUCUGGCAGGGCCUGGUAGUGUGUGUGUAGAAUCCAGGGAAAAAGCCCCACCAGUGCAAAUGGAAACAGAGAUGGAAAGAAAAUGAGAUGGACAGAUGAAUGGAACAGACAUACAUACCAAAACCUGGAGAGUGAUAGAGAUGCAUACAAAUAUUCAGCAAGUCUACGACAGAGUGAGCGGCAGAGUGAAAGAGAAGGGGGAUAAAAGUGUUUGCUAAAUGGGUCAGGCCUGUCUGCCAUCCCAGGCACAGACACACAGUGUGCAGCCCCCCAGGGAAAGACCCAGACUGUACAACAUGCUGCUGAGAAGAGAGAGAGCAGAAGGAAAGAUGAAAUAAAAAUGUGAUGUAGCGGAAGGUUGCAGAUAUAUCCCAGGAAAAGGGAUGUAAAGCAAGAGAGCCAGAUGUGUCGGUUCUGAUUGGAAAGGAUCAUUUCACUUAUAUAAUGUGUUGUUGCUACUAGUCCACUUGUUUUCAGAAAUUUGUCAUUAUGAGAUUUCAAUAAAUGAGAAUGCAGCUA